AACUGUGACUCAAAAAAACAAAACCACCAAACAAACAACUAAGUGACUUACCAAUGUCACAGAGCUAGCAAGCCAGGAAUUCUGAGCUGGAAUUCCACCUGGUAAGGUGGCUAAGCAAUAGAAAGAGAUGAGAGAUGAGAGGCAGUGGCUGCUUUCGGUACAAUUCCUAGUACAGGCUCAUGGCAGGAAGUGGAAAUGAACCUGUCGGUGCAGACUGCCUUCUGGCUCCAGAGCCUUGGCCAACAGCACUUCUAUCUUCGUGCCAUGACCUAGUUUUGCUCACCCAGGUCUCUCUAUGGCCUACUUCUUUCCUAAGAAUUAUUUCAUAACUUUUGCCAAGUACCUAUGACAUGCUGAGCACAGCAUCCGUGAACUUGGAGAUGAAAAAAACCAAACGUUCCUUCAGAUGUGUGGAGCAAUAUUUGCUAUCCUGGUAGAAAGGCCAAUAGGGAAAUUAAGGAGUCUUGAACUUGCCCUUUCCCUUGUCUUCAGGUCGGUUGCCUUUUUACAACAGCUGCCCUCAAUCAUAGAUUAUUGGGCCCUGGAUCACUGGACCAGCUUUUCAACUGGGCCCUCUGCAGACAGAAAGUUCUACAACCUGUUAGCAUUAAGUCUUUUUUUUUUUUUUUAAUGAUAGUCAGAGAGAGAGAGGGAGAGAGAGAGGCAAAGGAAGAGGGAGAAGCAGGCUCCGUGCACGGGGAGCCCGACGUGGGAUUUGAUCCCGGGUCUCCUGCACCACCCAGGGAUCCCCAGGAUUAAGUCUUUUCUUGAUCUUGCUGUUAGCAUUACAUCUUAAGUAGCUCAGGCUGGUUCCCUGUUGCCGAUGAAAUCCACUGUCCCUGUAGGGUCCAGGGGCUGAAAUCAAGGAAAGAGCAAGUUCAGUGUUGGUAAGAGAUGUAGAACCGUUAUUUAGGCAAUGCAAUUUAGUGAUUUUGAAAGGGCUGAGCCAUAAAAUGCUGUGAUAAAGGGGCUGCCUAUGCGACUAAGUGGAUAUAAUUACAUGUUAAAGCUUUCUUUCUCUCUCCCUUCAUGCUCCUCAAGCCCAAACCUGCUGGUUCUGGUGUUUCCUCCCCACUCCACCCCCUCCCCUCUUUUUUUUUUUUUUUUUUUUUGCAACAGGCCUUGGGCACUUGACUGGUUUUUCUUCCCCUUGGCCAGUCCUCCUACUCUACUCCUUGAGGUUCCUUAUCAUCAUCUCCACCUGAUUGCCCCAUUCUUCAGAAAUAAAUCCAUGAGGCUUAAGAGUUUUACAGAACAUGGGGUUACAAAAACAGCAAAUAUAGGGAAGAUAGACAGUGAACAAAUGUCCUACAGACAUGGCCCUUUGUUUCUAGCUCCUGGCUCCUUCUCAAAUGUUGACUGGAAGUCCCACCAGGCACUAUAAAAUGCAACCCUGAAGGGGCAGCUCACCCACUGUUCACUCUCCUGACCUGACACCCACCCUGGACAAUCUUUUCAACAUACAAAUCAGAACAUAUCACCCCUCCCCCUGCCUCCUACCACCACCUCCCUGCAAAACCCUCCCUUGUUGUCCCAUUGUGAUUAGAGUAUCUCCAGGCUCUUUCUCUGGGCCUCCGAGUCUUCCAUGACCUCUGCUCCUCCAGCCUCACCUCUACUGCUUUCCUAUUCAUCCUGUGCUCCAGCUUACUCUGGUCCUCCUGCUGUGCUUUUUGGAGCUUUGCCCUGGCUAGUCUUUCUCCUUAGAACAUCCCCAUCUACAAAGCUAGCUCCUUCUCAUCUUGUGGGUCUCAGCUGAAAUGUCACCUCCUCAGAGAGGCCUUCCUGGAUCACUUUAUCUAAUAUGGGGACUCCCUCAUCCCAGCCAUUCUAUUCUGUAUCAUAUUUCCCUCUUUUUAUUUUCUUCAAAGCACUUAAAUAUUAUCAGACACUGUCUUGCUUAAUUCAUGUGUUUGUCUCUUGAUGGUUUACUUCUACCACUAAGCUAGAAGCUGCAUAUGAGGGCAAAGACUGUCAGUACCACUCACGGUUGUCCCCCCAGAAACAGUGCAUGUAUAGGCCCUCAAAUAUUUGUAAAACAAAGGAACGUAUUGUGUUAUUUUUGCUGCCACCAGCUGGUUAACUGGACUCACCCUUCAUGUCAACUGUCUCCUGUUCCAAGAAGUCAUUGUUGACCUUGACCUUUAUAUCAUACACUGGGUUACCUGGACUGCAGUCAUUCAUUUACUAAGCAUCCACAUUAGAAGGACAUGUGCCAGAAGCUGUGUUAGACAAUAAUCUCACCAAGUCAAAGGAGCCAUGGUACCUGCCUUCUAAAAGUCUCUAAUCUACUGGGUAGACAGGCAAGUUAAUGAGGGUGAUCCGUGCAGGAUGGUCUGGUAGAAGAAAAAACAUAGACAAGAGGGGUAUCUCAACCAGACCAGAGGGUUCUGGUCAAGCUUCUAAGAAAUGACUCUUCAGCUAAGUUUAAGAGCUAGAAAGAGAAAGCAGUAUAUUUUGGUGUGAGGAGUCCCAUGGGCUGAAAACUCUGGUGUGGACACGAUGUGUGCUGUGUUGACCUAAGCAGACAGUGGGGUCCGGGGAGGGUAUGCUGGGCAGGGAGUUUGGGGAACUGGUUCUUGCCUAUUCUGCUUCUAAUGAGCUGUGGGAUCUUGAAUAGGUUACUUCCCCUCUGAGUCUCGAAUUCUCUCUGGCUGGCAUUUAGUGAAACCUGAACUUGUCUUAACAUUUCAGACCUUCUAUUUAGUCCAUAAGUAUUCAGUCUCUAUGCUCACUGCCCCCUAACACCAAUUUACUGGGGGCUCAAUUUAUGCCCAGCAGAGCAUUAAGUAUUCUAAAACACAAAAUUAAUGGAAAAUGCAGUCUUUGCUCCGGAUGCAGUUGUAAUUUGGAGAGGCGAAGAAAUAAGCCAUAAUAGAAUUAGGAAAACAAACAAACACACACACACAAACAAACAAACAAACAAAAAAGAAUUAGGAAAACAAAACAGUUUAACACAUCUCACAUCUUUUGCUAAUUGUUUCACACAUACCUGCCUCAUUGUCCCAUUUACAUGCCAACACCAUGAGGGUCAGAGACCCUGUGUUCUAAUUCUAUUUAAUGCAGUCUCCCACUUUCUAGCUGUAAAACAGUGGCCUACUUCUUGUACUUUUCUAAGCUUCCAUUUCAUUAUCUGUAAAAUGGGGGAAGUACCAAAUGUAUAGGGUUGUUUCAAGGAGUAAAUGAGCUAGAACAUGGGAGGCACAUAGCACAGGGCCUGACACCUGGCAUGCCCUCAAUAAUAAUUGCAUCCUCCAUGCUGCUGGACAUCGGAAUGUGUAACAGUAGAGGUGAAGCAUCAAGAACAAGGUUGAAGAAUGAUUAACGAAGACUGAGACUGCACACCUUCUAGAAGACCCUUGACCAGAGGGCAUCCUGUUCCUAUGCUCCCUUGAACGUGGCUUAUGACUGCUUUGAGCAACAGAAUGCUACUGAGGUCAUGCUACAUGGGUUCUGAAGCUGAGUCCUAGGAGGUCUUUUUGCGUCUGCCUGGGUCUCUUAGAACGCUUGCUCUGAGAGAAGCCAACCACUACCUAAGAAGUCUGAGUGCCCAGAAACCACCGUGCCCAAGGAAGCCCAAACUAGCACUUGAGUUAAGAGUAGCUUUGCCGAAAGUGUACCCUUCUGAGAUAUGGCCGUUUUCACUAGAUGGAAUAAAUUAUUCACCAUGAUGUCUAUAGCAUCCAACACAAUGGCUGUCUGUGGCCAAGUAAUAGAGGGAGAAUUGGAAAGGAAGAUGAUGAAGAGAAGACAAGGAGCCAGAGAUCUGCUGAAAGCACCAGAAAGCCUACCACUGAAAGUCAUGAAAAUAAUUCUCAGAACUCUGGGGAAGAUGGGUAUCGCCCACACCUCGGCAAGUUACUGAGGCUUAGGGAAAUCCAAUUUCUUUGUAAAGGGUCAUAGAUCUUGUAGGUGAGGCAAAUAAUUUGCUGAUUAGGACAUCACACUGCCCCUCACAACUUGGCCUUGCAGCACCUGCCAAUUAGUGAUUUCAUCAUUCUAACCAUCUUCCCUUUUAAAAUGCAAAUACCCUCGCAAAGAAUAAAACCCGACAACUGACAAUUUCGUGCAAGCUGUUACGAUCACAUCAUCAGCUCAGUACUAUACUGGUCAGCUCAAAUAGAAGAACACCAUAACAAAAUGCCACAGACUGGGAUGGAUUAAACAACAGACAUUUAUUUUCCCGUAGUUCUGGAGCCUGGAAGUCAGAUCAGGGCACCAGCAUGGUGGGCUUCUGGUGAGAGCUCUCUCCCUGGCUUGUUGGGACAGCUGCCUUCCAACUGUGUCCUCACAUGGUGGGGAGAGAGAAUAAGAUCUUUGUGCUCUACUCUUACAAGGGUACUAAUAACCCCAUUAUAAGGACCCCACUCUCAUGACCACCUCUAAACGUCAUUGCCUCCCAAAGGCCCUAUGGCCAAAUACCAAUACAUUAAGGGUUAGGGCUUCGACAUAUGAAUUUUGAGGGGAUGUAACUCCAUUUACAGCAAGUACCAAGCCCCUUUCUUAGACACAGGAGAAUUUUUGGGCUGCUUAACCUAUCCCAGUACCGCCUGCUUUAGACAUUUCUUAAGUGAAUAAUAAAGUCCUUAUGGUUUAAACAACUAUAAGUAAGGUAGUCUGUAAUGUGAAGCUGAAAACACUCCCAGAGAACCCAAGUAGGGACAGUUGCAACUGAGUGACAUGGAUGCCUGGAAACAACCGUGGUGGGGAAGGGCAGAGGCUCCCUCUGCUAGUGCCCUGUAUUAGCCAGCCAGGGGUGAGGGCAAACUAUCCCAACCCCUGCUCAUGAGGGCCCUCUCAGGAAGUCAAUAGUGAAACAUUUGUUGAAUAAAUGCAUGAAAGAACAACAACAACAACAACAAAACCAAGGGAAAUGGAAGGAGAAAUAAAAGGACUUGAUGAAUUUUUCCCAGCUCUGCAAUAGGAAAUACCCCAAUUGCCUUCCAAACUUUGUAUCCUAGGAGUUUAUUAAA